UUUGACUAAGAAAUUAGUAAUUUUAAUGCUUAGAUUAAUAUUAAAUAUUGAUAUUAAUUUCGUAAUAUUGGUAUAUGCCGUCCAAUGGCUGAAUUUGUAUAUUCCAUGUAAAUAUUAUGUAAGGAUUAUUUUUCAAAGGCAAACGUGCUGGCAAAUCCUCAUCUUUUUAAUAUGUAUUCCUACCAUAAAGCAUUUUUGACAAAAUCAGGGCAGCAUCAUGCAAUAUAAACAAUACUUCCUGAUUAAGUGGCUGAAUAUACUGUUGUUUCAGGUAUUAUACAGAUAUUGCUUCAAACAGAUACUCUGCUUAGCAAUAAAUUUAUGUCAAAGAAAUUUAUAAUCUAAUGAAACUGAAGAGGAAUUAGACAACAAAGAAAAAGAUAUACAUAACAGGCAUUGCAUUUAGGUAAUUCUGACUCAGAAUGCAUUUUAAACUAAAGUUAUUGAAUGUUCCAGAUCAAAAGUUAAGAGUUUUACCAGAAAAUAUAAACAGCUUAUGUAUAUACGUAUUUUUAAUAAGAUUCUGAUCAUAAUUGAAUGAUAAUUGUUAGUUAUAUAUUACAAUGAAUUAUCCAAAUAAGUACCUACUGCUGAUCUGUUAUUUCUAAUUGCAAACAUCCUUUGUUUUUGGUCAUGCUUGCUAGUUUAAAGGAUGUGUAUGUGUUAAUUUUAUAAAAUAUAUAUGUAGUGCAUGUGUGAGUAUGUACAAUAAAUUGUUCAUAAAUUUCA